AAUGGUAGAGGUGCAAUGAUCAUGAGUCUAUAAUCAUAAUGUUUGGUACAGUGAUUAUAAAAAAGGGUGAUUUGCCGAAGUAUUUUCAUGAUGCCAAUAGUGAAAAUGCUGGGGAAUGAUAGAAUAUAUCAUUCACUGUCACAAUAUGUGGAGGGCUAUCU
rnacentral:ncRNA from 1 species